rnacentral:rRNA from 1 species
CCUGCCAAACUUAAGCAUAUCGCUAAGCGGAGGAAAAGAAACCAACCAGGAUUCCCUAUGUAACGACGAGUGAACCGGGA